rnacentral:rRNA from 1 species
AGCUCAGAAGAACCAACAGGGAUUGCCCUAGUAACGGCGAGUGAAGCGGCAACAGCUCAAAUUUGAAAUCUGGCGUCUUCGGCGUCCGAGUUGUAAUUUGCAGAGGGCGCUUUGGCAUUGGCAGCGGUCCAAGUUCCUUGGAACAGGACGUCACAGAGGGUGAGAAUCCCGUACGUGGUCGCUAGCCUUUACCGUGUAAAGCCCCUUCGACGAGUCGAGUUGUUUGGGAAUGCAGCUCUAAAUGGGAGGUAAAUUUCUUCUAAAGCUAAAUACUGGCCAGAGACCGAUAGCGCACAAGUAGAGUGAUCGAAAGAUGAAAAGCACUUUGGAAAGAGAGUUAAAAAGCACGUGAAAUUGUUGAAAGGGAAGCGCUUGCAGCCAGACUUGCCUGUAGUUGCUCAUCCGGGUUUCUACCCGGUGCACUCUUCUAUAGGCAGGCCAGCAUCAGUUUGGGCGGUUGGAUAAAGGUCUCUGUCAUGUACCUCUCUUCGGGGAGAACUUAUAGGGGAGACGACAUGCAACCAGCCUGGACUGAGGUCCGCGCAUCUGCUAGGAUGCUGGCGUAAUGGCUGUAAGCGGCCCGUCUUGAAACACGGACCAAGGAGUCUAACAUCUAUGCGAGUGUUUGGGUGUCAAGCCCGAGCGCGUAAUGAAAGUGAACGGAGGUGGGAACCUUUCGGGGUGCACCAUCGACCGAUCCUGAUGUCUUCGGAUGGAUUUGAGUAAGAGCAUAGCUGUUGGGACCCGAAAGAUGGUGAACUAUGCUUGAAUAGGGUGAAGCCAGAGGAAACUCUGGUGGAGGCUCGCAGCGGUUCUGACGUGCAAAUCGAUCGUCAAAUUUGGGCAUAGGGCGAAAGACUAAUCGAACUAUCUAGUAGCUGG